rnacentral:rRNA from 1 species
GACGAACGCUGGCGGCGUGCUUAACACAUGCAAGUCGAACGGAAAGGCCCUGCUUUUGUGGGGUGCUCGAGUGGCGAACGGGUGAGUAACACGUGAGUAACCUGCCCUUGACUUUGGGAUAACUUCAGGAAACUGGGGCUAAUACAGGAUAGGAGCUCCUGCUGCAUGGUGGGGGUUGGAAAGUUUCGGCGGUUGGGGAUGGACUCGCGGCUUAUCAGCUUGUUGGUGGGGUAGGGGCUUACCAAGGCUUUGACGGGUAGCCGGCCUGAGAGGGUGACCGGCCACAUUGGGACUGAGAUACGGCCCAGACUCCUACGGUAGGCAGCAGUGGGGAAUAUUGCCCAAUGGGCGGAAGCCUGAUGCAGCAGCGCCGCGUGCGGGAUGACGGCCUUCUGGUUGUAAACCGCUUUCGCCUGUGACGAAGCGUUAGUGACGGUAAUGGGUAAAGAAGCACCGGCUAACUACGUG